rnacentral:rRNA from 1 species
UACGAAGGGGGCUAGCGUUGCUCGGAAUCACUGGGCGUAAAGGGUGCGUAGGCGGCGCGGUAAGUCGGGUGUGAAAUCUCGGGCUUAACUCCGAAACUGCAUUCGAUACUGCCGUGCUUGAGGACUGGAGAGGAGACUGGAAUUUACGGUGUAGCGGUGAAAUGCGUAGAUAUCGUAAGGAAGACCAGUGGCGAAGGCGGGUCUCUGGACAGUUCCUGACGCUGAGGCACGAAGGCCAGGGAGCGAAACGGG